rnacentral:rRNA from 1 species
UCGUAACAAGGUUUCCGUAGGUGAACCUGCGGAAGGAUCAUUAUUGAUUGAUUAAAGGGAUGUGCUGGCAAAAAUCCAUUUAUGCAUUGUGCACUCCUGAAAUCUUCAUCCACUUGUGCACAUUGUAGACAAAAAGUCAAUGAAAUUAUUUUGUUGCUUUUGUCUAUGCCUUUUAAUACACAUUUAUCAAUUAUUGAAUGGUGUCUGACUUAUUGAAAGUCAAAAAAAAUUAAUACAACUUUCAACAAUGGAUUUCUUGGUUCUCGCAUCGAUGAAGAACGCAGCGAAUUGCGAUAUGUAAUGUGAAUUGCAGAAUUCAGUGAAUCAUCGAAUCUUUGAACGCACCUUGCACUCUUUGGUCUUCCAAAGGGUAUGCCUGUUUGAGUAUCAUUAAUAAUAUCAACACAAAUCAACUUGAUAUGUGCUUGGAUGUUGAAGGUAUGCUGGCUUUGCAGUUAGCUCCUUUUAAAUGAAUUAGCAGAACUAUUAGGACUGGCUUCGGUUUGAUAAUUAGCUUUUAUCUAUUGCUGUUGCUUGCCACUUUUGUUCAGCUGAUAAUUGUCCUUGGACUGUCUCUUAAGACAUAAAAAUUCUUAAAUUGAUCUCAAAUCAGGUAGGACUACCCGCUGAACUUA